rnacentral:misc_RNA from 1 species
GAAAUGCGAUAAGUAAUGUGAAUUGCAGAAUUCAGUGAAUCAUCGAAUCUUUGAACGCACCUUGCGCUCCUUGGUAUUCCUUAGAGCAUGCCUGUUUUAGUAUCAUGCAAUCUUCAAAGUAAAUCUUUUGUUAACUCAAUUGGUUUCUACUUUGGUAUUGGAGGUCUUUGCAGCUUCACACCUGCUCCUCUUUGUUCAUUAGCUGGAUCUCAGUGUUAUGCUUGGUUCCACUCGGCGUGAUAAGUUAUCUAUCGCUGAGGACACUGUAAAAGGUGGCCAAGGUAAAUGCAGAUGAACCGCUUCUAAUAGUCCAUUGACUUGGACAAUACUUUUAUGAUCUGAUCUCAAAUCAGGUAGGACUACCCGCUGAACUUAAGC